rnacentral:rRNA from 1 species
GUGAGGAAUAUUGGUCAAUGGGCGGAAGCCUGAACCAGCCAUCCCGCGUGCAGGAAGACGGCCCUAUGGGUUGUAAACUGCUUUUCCAGGGGGCGAAACUUUCCGAUGUAUCGGGAUUUGACGGUACCCUGGGAAUAAGCAUCGGCUAACUCCGUGCCAGCAGCCGCGGUAAUACGGAGGAUGCGAGCGUUAUCCGGAUUUAUUGGGUUUAAAGGGUGCGUAGGCGGAUCGAUAAGUCAGUGGUGAAACCCUGCAGCUUAACUGUAGACUUGCCGUUGAUACUGUUGGUCUUGAGUGUGGUCAAGGUAGGCGGAAUGUGUAAUGUAGCGGUGAAAUGCUUAGAUAUUACACAGAACACCGAUUGCGAAGGCAGCUUACUGGGCCAUUACUGACGCUGAUGCACGAAAGCGUGGGGAUCGAACAGGAUUAGAAACCCGAGUAGC